GUUAUCACAACAAGUACCAAAUCAUGUGAAAAAUGAGAAUCAAGAGGUCUUUCAAGGUUGUAAUGUGGCUUAGGUUACAAGAAAGGAUAUGAUUAAGAGAAUUCAACAAAGUUGCCUAUCCUAAGGGAGCAUUCUCAAACAAUUAACUCUACACAAUUUCCCUUUCUUUGAUCCCUAUUUUUUUUUCUUUUUCCUUUUACAUCCACACAACCAUGAGCAUUUCUUUGUUUUUUUUUUUCUUUGCUCUAUGGUUUCAAGGGUGAUUUCUUUUUCUUGUUUCUUUUCAUAUUUUCACCCUUUUAUAAAAACUCACUUUUCCAAGUUUCUAAUCAACUUUUCACUUUACUCUCCCCAACUUUAG
rnacentral:lncRNA from 1 species